AUUGAACGCUGGCGGAAUGCUUUACACAUGCAAGUCGAACGGCAGCACGGACUUCGGUCUGGUGGCGAGUGGCGAACGGGUGAGUAAUGCAUCGGAACGUGCCCAAUCGUGGGGGAUAACGUAGCGAAAGUUACGCUGAUACCGCAUACGAGCUAAGGAUGGAAGCGGGGGAUCGCAAGACCUCGCGCGAAUGGAGCGGCCGAUGUUAGAUUAGGCAGUUGGUGGGGUAAAGGCUCACCAAGCCGACGAUCUAUAGCUGGUCUGAGAGGAUGGUCAGCCACACUGGGACUGAGACACGGCCCAGACCCCUACGGGAGGCAGCAGUGGGGAAUUUUGGACAAUGGACGCAAGCCUGAUCCAGCCAUUCCGCGUGCAGGAUGAAGGCCCUCGGGUUGUAAACUGCUUUUGUACAGAACGAAAAGCUCCGGGUUAAUACCCUGGGGUCAUGACGGUACUGUAAGAAUAAGCACCGGCUAACUACGUGCCAGCAGCCGCCGCCG
rnacentral:rRNA from 1 species